GCACUAUAGACAUAAAGAGAAAACACUUGCUGAGUCAGCAUUACAGACAUAAGAUCAUUUUUCAUCUAUUUAUUAACAGACAAACUGCUUGUGGAAAUAAAAUCGUCUACCAUUUAACCCUCUGUGUAUGGAGAGACUAAGUGUACCAAACUAAAUGGAACUUGUACUAAAAAGACAACAGACAAAAAUGACGGACAUAAUAAAUACCCCUGAGAUUCUGUGAAGCUCCUCUCCACUUGAUAGCCAUUUUGAUUGGAAUCUGCACAUUGCUGCCUUUCAAAAUCAAAUUCAGAGAUAUGCUCUAGACCAUGCUGGUUGUUAAGCAAGAUGGGAACAAGGCAAGAUCUGGAUAGUGAGGUAGCCAUGACAUCAACCCUGAAAGAAAACAAGCCAAACAGAAAAUGACCCAAGCAAGUGCCAUUUUUUUACCAGUGCUAUAUAAGGGUGGGAAAGUUUUUUUCAGAAUAGGGCCAGAUAGCCAUAAGAAGCUAACAAUAGUUACAUGCUAAUCAUUUUGAUUUUUAAUUCACUCCAUGACUUCAUGCAGGGGUGGCCUGGCAUUACCAUAUGAUUCAGCCCACAUAUUGCUUGCCAUGUGAUGUGCAUCUAUCGGUCUUCUCAGAGCUAACAUGCUUCUUUUUCCAUCCAUGUUUGGUAACAUAUUCAACAAUUAAUAGUUGUGAUUAGUGAAUGACUUAGCAGCAGAGUAAUCCUAAGAUGAAUAUGACUAACUGGAAAUGUUAUGUGUCAAUUUCAGAAACAGAGGAUUUAUAGAUUCAAAUGAAUAAACAAAAGAGAGACUGGAAUACUACAUGGAGGUUCUAGUGGACAUAAAAGCAGUACGGCUUUCCAUUAACUCUUUCUCUCUGUAAUUAUUUAUCACAUUCAGGUGGAAUCAACGCUGGCAUCGUCAGUUAGGAGAGAAAGAGUUAAAUGAUUGGGAUGUUACAGCCAAAUACUAAAGCACUUUAUGAACACUAAAUAAGCACCAUAGCUUCAUUGACUUUGAGUUAACAAAAAAAUAACAAGCAGAGACUGAGACAUUUAUAAUUACUGAGAGAUACAAUUUUUUUUUAUCGUCUCUUUGGUAAAACAUGAAGUGGAACAAUUAGGACAGACAUGCUAAUGAAAUGAAGACUGUCAAUGGCUUACAAACAAAUGCUUUAUCAUUUCAUGCUUAUGAAAUGCACUAAAGCCAAAAACAAAGCAAAUAGGAAAUCAUCAAACUCACUGGAUUAAAGUUGGAGUCUUUUAAAGAAUAUGCUAGACUUUGGUUGCAAUUUUGAAUUUGUUGAAAUGAUGAAUGGCUGUUUUGUUGAGGUUGCAGAAGAUGAUUCUUGUCUGAACAUGCAGUGUCAUUUGGCUGUUGCAUUUCCAUAUUAGGACAAUGGUUUUCAGGCAUGCCUGCAGAUCUCCAGAGACAUGGGCGUUUAGGCAAGUUUGCUCUUUGUUCUAGCUGAAAAUAUAAGGUGUCUAUGGUGAGAACUUGUUAAAGACAUCAGUGUUAUGAAAGAGAGAAGCUUCCUUCUGCCCAAGUUCACUCUGGCUGCAGUAACUUGAAAGUGAUUAUUGCUUUUAACAGACAUAGGAAGAUAAUGUCAUCUUUCCAUUUUAUUUUUGCCAAUACAAAUAUCUACAUUCCUUGUUGAUAGCAAACACUGAAAACAUAGUUUAAUUGAUUCUUCAAUUCUAGAUUUAGAGUUGAAUGACUAGAAUCUAAAUUUUGGUCUGGACAGAUCAAUGGACAAUGACAAUAUUUGACACACUAUUUGACUACAAUUAUAAAGUCUGAAGAAACACUGUAGACUAGUGGUCUUCAACCUUUUUUGGCCUACCGCCCCCUUUUCGUAUUUUUUGCUUUAAAAAAAUCCACCAGAACCCUUCUUAAAAAAUACUAAUAAAGUAGCUAUUUCGAAGGCAAAUUUGAAUAAAAUGUCAUUUUUUAUUAAUUUUCAUGAUGUCAAUAACAGAUAGUUAAUUAGUUAAUUUUAUAACUGUUAUUUUAGGGUUAUAUUGUAAAUUUAGUUUUAAUUUUUAUAUUGAUAUUAUUAUUGCCAAAUUCACUAAAAAGUGAAAUCAAGCUUAUGAGAACCUCAUGUCUACUGACAAAAUGUCAAGCUUUAAAUUAGCCAAAGCAAGGCAAAUAUCUUCUCUGGUGGAUAUAUCUAUUUUUUGCUUACUCAUUAUGUUUUUUACGCACUUAAUCCAUUUUAACCAUGUAUAUUGAUGGAAAGCUAAAAAUAAUUCCAUUUACGACCACAGUUUUGGGAUUUUACACAGACAUUUAAGUGGAGCCAUAUCUCUGUUGUGCCUCCUAUGUUAACAUUUUUUAAAACUGAAGACAUAAUUUUGUAAAUCUAUUUUUUUCUUGAAACUCAAUUUGAACAUCAGUAACAGAUGCUUAAAAAAUGUCAAUUAUAUAAUAUUUUCAAAUUUAUUAAAUCCUAGAAGCAAAUUGUUAUUUCUUCUUAGAGGAUUGUUAAUUGAAUUGCAUAGACAUGACCUGUUUUUGAAAUAUUGCAAGUUUUCCUCACGAGCAACUUUGUGAAUGUUUUCAUUGUUAAAAAGGUUAAAUUAUAGAAUGUCUUGCUA